UACGUAGGGACCGAGCGUUGUCCGGAUUCAUUGGGCGUAAAGAGCUCGUAGGCGGCUGUUCAAGUCGAACGUGAAAACUCGGAGCUCAACUCCGAGCCUGCGUUCGAUACUGGACGGCUAGAGUCUGGUAGGGGGAUCUGGAAUUCCUGGUGUAGCGGUGGAAUGCGCAGAUAUCGGAAGGAACAUCAGUGGCGAAAGCGGCUUCCUGGACCAGUACCGACGUCAGGCACGAAAGCGUGGGGAGCAAACAGG
rnacentral:rRNA from 1 species